rnacentral:rRNA from 1 species
UAGGGAAUCUUCCGCAAUGGACGAAAGUCUGACGGAGCAACGCCGCGUGAGUGAAGAAGGAUUUCGGUUCGUAAAACUCUGUUGUUAGGGAAGAAAAAAUGUAUAGUAACUAUAUACAAAAGAGACGGUACCUAACCAGAAAGCCACGGCUAACUACGUGCCAGCAGCCGCGGUAAUACGUAGGUGGCAAGCGUUGUCCGGAAUUAUUGGGCGUAACGCGCGCGCAGGUGGUUUAGAAAGUCUGAUGUGAAAGCCCACGGCUCAACCGUGGAGGGUCAUUGGAAACAAAUAAACGUGAGUGCAGGAGAGAAAAGUGGAAGUCCAAGUGUAGCGGUGAAAUGCGUAGAGAUUAGGAGGAACACCGGUGGCGAAAGCGGCUUUUUGGCCUGCAACUGACACUGAGGCGCGAAAGCGUGGGGAGCAAACAGG